rnacentral:lncRNA from 1 species
CUGGAACGGAGAAAGGAGGCAAACGCUGAAAGACACAGCGCUUAGGGUGUCUCAUUCCCUGGCCCACAUCUGCCCGGAGUUGCAGUCGCAGCGGCAUCUCAUACUGUGUUCACCCCAUAAAUUAAUUCCUCCUUAUCAACAGGGAGUGGCUGGCAGAACAAAGACUGUGUGCCGGCGGAGGCCAGCGUGGGUGGGUGGCUGUCACCACGCGUAGGGACAAUGAGCGCGGAGAGGCCGUGUGUGCGGCAUGAAUGGGAACAGGCGGGCGGGCGCGGGGCACGUGUGCCCGCGAUGCGGCGCGCCCGCGGGAGCCUGCGCGUCCCCACCCCUCGGAGCGGCGGCGGGCGCCGAGCCGGAUUUCUGGAGCUGUCCAUGAGCUCAUCGCUCUCGCGGCGGCGGCGGCGGCCAGGGCAGCAGCCUCCGCUCUCCGCGCGCCGCUAGCCCGAGCCCGGCCGCCCGCUCGCGCCCACCCGGCGGCCCGCCGGCCAGCCCAGCCCGCGGCCAAGGUCGCGCCGCCCCGCCCGGAGGAGGCGGGCGCGGGCAGGGCAGCGGCUUCGGCCGGGACCGCGGCCGGCCAGCCGGGCACAGCCGCCCUCGCUCUCUGCGGCCCAGGCGCCGGGGGCCAGAGGGGCCGCGGGCCGCAGGCCGGGGAGCGGCCGGAGCCGCGGGGGAGCCGGCGUGACAGCGGACGAGCCGGCGCCCGGGAAGAUGGCUUCUCCCACCUCCCCGGCCCCCGAGGGCGGGGCCUGCACCCCGCCGAACCCUCCGCGGAUUCGUCAGAUGAAGAAAUUGAGUCCAGAGAAUUGGAUAUACAGAAGUAUGCGGCAGGUCAUUUGUCACUUGCCCUCUGUGAUGGCAGAUUUCAGGCAUCAACCAGUUGGAGAAGGUAUUUUUGGUCAGACGGGCUUUUCCUUGUAAUCACACCAUCUCCGCAGGUGCUGAAUGUUGAGAAGGUUAACUCUCGUUCUGCAAAUCCUUUUUAUGGGUAA